rnacentral:rRNA from 1 species
UGGGGAAUUUUGGACAAUGGGCGAAAGCCUGAUCCAGCAAUGCCGCGUGUGAAGAAGGCCUUCGGGUUGUAAAGCACUUUUGUCCGGAAAGAAAUCCUUGGCUCUAAUACAGUCGGGGGAUGACGGUACCGGAAGAAUAAGCACCGGCUAACUACGUGCCAGCAGCCGCGGUAAUACGUAGGGUGCAAGCGUUAAUCGGAAUUACUGGGCGUAAAGCGUGCGCAGGCGGUUUGCUAAGACCGAUGUGAAAUCCCCGGGCUCAACCUGGGAACUGCAUUGGUGACUGGCAGGCUAGAGUAUGGCAGAGGGGGGUAGAAUUCCACGUGUAGCAGUGAAAUGCGUAGAGAUGUGGAGGAAUACCGAUGGCGAAGGCAGCCCCCUGGGCCAAUACUGACGCUCAUGCACGAAAGCGUGGGGAGCAAACAGGAUUAGAUACCCUGGUAGUCCACGCCCUAAACGAUGUCAACUAGUUGUUGGGGAUUCAUUUCCUUAGUAACGUAGCUAACGCGUGAAGUUGACCGCCUGGGGAGUACGGUCGCAAGAUUAAAACUUAAAGGAAUUGACGGGGUCAUAGCUGUUU